GUCCACGCCCUAAACGAUGUCUACUAGUUGUCGGGCCUUAAUUGGCUUGGUAACGCAGCUAACGCGUGAAGUAGACCGCCUGGGGAGUACGGUCGCAAGAUUAAAAACUCAAAGGAAUUGACGGGGACCCGCACAAGCGGUGGAUGAUGUGGAUUAAUUCGAUGCAACGCGAAAAACCUUACCUACCCUUGACAUGGCUGGAAUCCCUGAGAGAUUGGGGAGUGCCCGAAAGGGAGCCAGUACACAGGUGCUGCAUGGCUGUCGU
rnacentral:rRNA from 1 species